UUUGAUGCUGUUUGGUAGGUGCCCAAAGACUUUUGUGGCAGCAUAAUUUACCCCUUUCUGUGCCAAAGUCAGAUUUAACCCUGCAUAGUGAAGAUCAUCCUUUCUCCUGGUGUUAUAGGUUCGCUAAGGAUGAAAACCGAAGGCAGCUUUGGAUACAGGCCCUGAAAUGGAACAACUUUAAGCCAUCUGCACAUACGCGCCAUUUUGUAUAUACAAGUGAGAUUAUAAUAAGAUGCUCCUGGGUGUUGGUGAGAGAACUGCAUGCAACCAGUGGAGCAAGUAGCAAGUAUGCUGGGCUGUGGGAAACAUUUGUCAUUAUUGGCUCACUGCAUGAUUGAAUCCAGAAAGCCUGAUAAUAACGAGCAAGGAGCAGCAACAUACAUUCCACGAGAUGAAAAACUCAUUAUGAUAGUAAAUUAUGUAAUUUCGGAGUUCAAG